rnacentral:lncRNA from 1 species
UAACAUGCAUACAAUACAAUAUAACCUUUAUAUCAUACAUUUUAAUGCAUGAACAUGUUAACCUAUGGUGGGAUUUUAAAUCUAUAUGACAUUCAAAAUGCACAUACAAAUUUAAAGUAAUUUAAUCAUACAUCACAUGCAUAAAUAAAAAAAAAACACCCUAAAAUGGACUGAUUUUUGGCUCCUAAAUUAAGCUAAGUGCUAAAUUAUUACAUAAUUAAUUUGGUGUAGUACAGAACCACUCCCAAAAAUUUCGAACCGGCUAAAAAACCAACCGAAACCGCUUGAACCGGCCCAAAAACCAAAUUUAUUGGCUUGAACCGGCCCAGGCGCACACGGGUCAUGCGAAGGCAGGCGCGCGGGCGAAGGUGUAGAGGUUGAUCCCGAGAAAAUUAGAUCUAUCAAAGAAUGGCCCGUGCCCACUAAUGUGAUAGAACUAAGUCAUGCACAGCGGAAAAAGAAUCGAAUUUCUACCCUAAUUGCCACAAUUAACAUCUAACCAUAAACUAAUCAAAUUAGGGUUUUAAGAAGUAUUACCUUUGAAGCUUUCAAAAGGUUUGAUGUCUUCUUACCAAUUCUACCCGAGACCACCACUAGUACUCAACUGCUAUCCUCUAGACAAAGAACCGGGUUGUGGGACCCAAUUUUGGUGUAGAAAGUAAUGGAGAUAAAAUGAGAUUGGAAGCUUUCUUUUUUCUUUUGUUGAGAUUAUGAAAAUGAUAAAAGAGGCAAAAGUCCUUCAACAUUUGAAAACAUCUCUAUUUAUAGCCUAAUUACAUGCAAAAAUGCAUGCAAUUCAAUUGCCAAAUCUCAACACCUAAUAUUCCACUAACAAUUAGUGGAACUUAGUGGGCUAGGUGUCUAUAUCUCAUAUAGCCACAUAUCCCACUAAGAGUUAGUGGGAUUAUCCAACAAAAUGUUGGAUUUUCCCACUAACUUAGUCCAAGGGUAAAAAUGGUCAUUAGAUUUUCUAGUCAAAAGUCAAACUUUGACUUUUCUAAGUCAAAAGUCAAUAUUUUGACUUUUUUCCAUUUUGUCCGUCUUGACUAAUUCCAACCUCCCGAGCAUGAAUCCGCAUUCAUUUUUCCAAAAUUCAAAUCACAUUUGAAUAUAAGGCCGGUCAAAGUUUGACUUUUCAAAGUCAAAAGUCAACAUUUUGACUUUUUUACUAUUUUUGACCAAUUCCGAGCUUCUUAGUAUGAAUCUGCAUUCAUACUUAUAGUAUGUAAAACAUAAAGCUCUAUUUCUAAUUAGAAGACCGACGAUUAU